rnacentral:rRNA from 1 species
UACGUAGGGUGCAAGCGUUGUCCGGAAUUAUUGGGCGUAAAGAGCUCGUAGGCGGUUCGUCGCGUCGGCUGUGAAAACCCGGAGCUUAACUCCGGGCCUGCAGUCGAUACGGGCGGACUGGAGUUCGGCAGGGGAGACUGGAAUUCCUGGUGUAGCGGUGAAAUGCGCAGAUAUCAGGAGGAACACCGGUGGCGAAGGCGGGUCUCUGGGCCGAUACUGACGCUGAGGAGCGAAAGCGUGGGGAGCGAAUGGG